UCAAGCCCAAUGGUGCAAGCCAUCUGGUGAAAGAGGUUCAUUUUUAGCAUUUUAGCAACUCUGACUCUUGCUAUUAGGGAGUACUAAGAUGGAUCCAUGAAACAUUCAACAAAACCUCAUGUUUUGUUAAUAGCCCUCAUGACAGUUUCCCAUGUGAUUUUUUUUUUUUUUAACUUCUCUCUGGAGAUAACCAACAACGAUAAUUACUGGUAAAACUGAAUUUUGCUCCCCUUCUGUGGUUUGACACAAAACUUGAGGGAGAUGCUUCCAUAAACUAGCCUAUCAGGCAGAGGAGGAAUUAACAAACAGGAUAAUGUGCCCAUAAUUCCAUAUUAAAAUAGAGAAAGUGAAAGGAGAUCCCAGAAAAUAGAUACAUGCUCAGUCUGAGAAAAACAGUCUUUUUCUUUUUACUGCUGCU
rnacentral:lncRNA from 1 species